GACGAACGCUGGCGGCGUGCUUAACACAUGCAAGUCGAACGGAAAGGCCCUGCUUUUGUGGGGUGCUCGAGUGGCGAACGGGUGAGUAACACGUGAGUAACCUGCCCUUGACUUUGGGAUAACUUCAGGAAACUGGGGCUAAUACCGGAUAGGAGCUCCUGCUGCAUGGUGGGGGUUGGAAAGUUUCGGCGGUUGGGGAUGGACUCGCGGCUUAUCAGCUUGUUGGUGGGGUAGUGGCUUACCAAGGCUUGGACGGGUAGCCGGCCUGAGAGGGAGACCGGCUACAGAGGGCUGCAGAAGGCAGCGGGACGGAAUCGGGGGCAAGGGGGGGAAAAGUUACACAACGGGGCGGCGGCAGGGAGGAGAACCCCCGGGGGGGGAAGCGCGGCUUUGGGGUGAGAACCAAUUUGCACGUGACGAGGCGCGUCGUGACGGUAAAUGGUAAAAAAGCCACGGCUAACUACGGG
rnacentral:rRNA from 1 species